rnacentral:rRNA from 1 species
UACGGGGGGAGCAAGCGUUGUUCGGAUUUACUGGGCGUAAAGGGCGGGUAGGCGGCCACCGCAAGUCAGUUGUGAAAUCUCUGGGCUUAACCCAGAAAGGUCAACUGAUACUGCGGGGCUAGAGUGCAGAAGGGGCAACUGGAAUUCUCGGUGUAGCGGUGAAAUGCGUAGAUAUCGGGAGGAACACCAGUGGCGAAGGCGGCGACCUGGGCCAAUAUUGACGCUGAGGUGCGAAAGCGUGGGGAGCAAACAGG